GGUAAACGCUGGCGGCGUGCCUAAAACAUGCAAGUCGAACGCAUCGAGCAAUCGGUGAGUGGCAGACGGCUGAGUAACGCGUGGGUGACCUACCCCGAUGUGGGGAAUAACUGCCCGAAAGGGUGGCUAAUACCGCAUGAGCUUCGACGUUUUGCGUCGAAGGAAAGUCGCAAGACGCAUUGGGAGGGGCCCGCGUCCGAUUAGCUGGUUGGUGGGGUAACGGCCUACCAAGGCGACGAUCGGUAGCUGGUCUGAGAGGAUGAUCAGCCAGACUGGG
rnacentral:rRNA from 1 species